rnacentral:sRNA from 1 species
CCUGAAAGCACGUAAGUUGGCAAGGUUUUGGUGU